UACGAAGGGGGCUAGCGUUGUUCGGAUUCACUGGGCGUAAAGGGUGCGUAGGUGGUUGCGCAAGUCUGAUGUGAAAUCUCCGGGCUCAACCCGGAAAUGGCAUUGGAAACUGCGUGGCUAGAGGGUUGGAGGGGGGACUGGAAUACUUGGUGUAGCAGUGAAAUGCGUAGAUAUCAAGUGGAACACCAGUGGCGAAGGCGAGUCCCUGGACAACGCCUGACACUGAGGCACGAAAGCUAGGGGAGCAAACAGG
rnacentral:rRNA from 1 species